GACGAACGCUGGCGGCGUGCCUAAUACAUGCAAGUUGAGCGCUGAAGGUUGGUCCUUGUACCAACUGGAUGAGCAGCGAACGGGUGAGUAACGCGUGGGGAAUCUGCCUUUGAGCGGGGGACAACAUUUGGAAACGAAUGCUAAUACCGCAUAAAAACUUUAAACACAAGUUUUAAGUUUGAAAGAUGCAAUUGCAUCACUCAAAGAUGAUCCCGCGUUGUAUUAGCUAGUUGGUGAGGUAAAGGCUCACCAAGGCGAUGAUACAUAGCCGACCUGAGAGGGUGAUCGGCCACAUUGGGACUGAGACACGGCCCAAACUCCUGCGGGAGGCAGCAGUAGGGAAUCUUCGGCAAUAGACGAAAGUCUGACCGAGCAACGCCGCGUGAGUGAAGAAGGUUUUCGGAUCGUAAAACUCUGUUGGUAGAGAAGAACGUUGGUGAGAGUGGAAAGCUCAUCAAGUGACGGUAACUACCCAGAAAGGGACGGCUAACUACGUG
rnacentral:rRNA from 1 species